rnacentral:rRNA from 1 species
UACAGAGGGUGCGAGCGUUAAUCGGAGUUACUGGGCGUAAAGGGCGCGUAGGCGGUUUAUUAAGUGAGAUGUGAAAUCCCUGGGCUUAACCUAGGAACUGCAUCUCAUACUGGUAGGCUAGAGUAUUGUAGAGGGUAGUGGAAUUUCCGGUGUAGCGGUGAAAUGCGUAGAGAUCGGAAAGAACACCAACGGCGAAAGCACUCUGCUGGGCCGACACUGACACUGAGAGACGAAAGCUAGGGGAGCGAAUGGG